GACAGAGGGUGCGAACGUUGUUCGGAAUUACUGGGCGUAAAGCGCGUGUAGGCGGCUUGGCAAGUCGGGUGUGAAAGCCCCGGGCUCAACCUGGGAAGUGCACUCGAAACUGCUUCGCUUGAGUAUCGGAGAGGGAAGUGGAAUUCUCGGUGUAGAGGUGAAAUUCGUAGAUAUCGAGAGGAACAUCGGUGGCGAAGGCGGCUUCCUGGACGAUUACUGACGCUGAGACGCGAAAGCGUGGGGAGCAAACAGG
rnacentral:rRNA from 1 species